AUUCCAGCUGAUCCUGCUGGCGGAUACUGCUAUCGAAAUCCGAUUUAGCCAUGCAAGUCUUAGGAUGCAAGCGUUGUGUCCUGGCGAACGGCUCAGUAACACGUAGUCAACCUGCCCUAGAAUGGUGGCAAUCCCGGGAAACUGGGGUUAAUCCACCGUAACGAACCAAAACUGGAAUGUUUGGUUUGUAAUAGAAACACUGGAUUGCAAGUGUUUUGUUCUAGGAUGGGACUGCGGCGGAUUAGGUUGUUGGCGGGGUAACUGCCCACCAAGCCAUUGAUCCGUACGGGCGUUGAGAGACGUAGCCCGGAGAAGGGUACUGAGAUAAGGACCCUAGCCCUACGGGGUGCAGCAGUCGCGAAACCUUUACAAUGCGCGAAAGCGUGAUAGGGGGAUCCCAAGUGCCUUACUAAUGGUAAGGCUUUUGCCAAAUGUAAGGAGUUUGGCGAAUAAGAGGUGGGCAAGACCGGUGCCAGCCGCCGCGGUAAUACCGGCGCCUCAAGUGGUAAUCAUUUUUAUUGGGCCUAAAGCGUCCGUAGCCUGUUUGAAAAAUUUCUUGUGAAAUUGUUCAGCUUAACUGAACA
rnacentral:rRNA from 1 species